GGAUGAAGAACGUAGCGAAAUGCGAUAAGUAAUGUGAAUUGCAGAAUUCAGUGAACCAUCGAAUCUUUGAACGCACAUUGCGCCCUCUGGUAUUCCGGGGGGCAUGUCCGUCCGAGCGUCAUCAUAUCCUCGAGCCUGGCUCGACGUUGGGCGUCGUCGACUCCGUCGGCGGGCUUGAAAUGCAGCCGUCGGCGCGUCUGGAGCCUCAAGCGAAGUAGUGACCUGUCGCUUUGGAGGCGCCGGGUGCGCCUGACCUGUCCUUCCUCCAUCGGUUGACCUCGGAUCGGGCAGGGAUACCCGCUGAACUUAAGCAUAUCAAUAAGCGGAGGA
rnacentral:misc_RNA from 1 species